rnacentral:snoRNA from 2 species
GUCCCUGUGAGGAUCUCAAGACCUACCGAUAGGAAGUGCCGUUUGACACUGUAAACAGCAGCUGCUUCUCUCAGCUGCAGCUGGUCCAUCCUUACCAUAACCUUUGUGGUUUGGUCUGGCUGGAGCUCCCCAUCUGUAGCUGUUGGUUUCAGCUGUGGUGUGUGAUUUAAAUCGGGUCUCUGAGGGAU